GCUGUGGCCAAGGGAAGGAAAUGUGUUUUGGAAAAUAACAGCGCGGUGGGGCCCGGAAGCUCCACUGUGUCAGUCCAUGCCUCCAGGGUGGCUCUUAACAGUUCAGGUCUGGCCCUGAAAAUGUGAAUAUCAGCCUUGGUGACUUGCAGAUCUCGCACACACUGCUGUAUGUCCUGGUUCCUCCCUUUCCACUUUGGAGCAGUUCCCCAGAGCUAUCUGAGAGGCUGCCUUCCCAAGCCAGGGUCCUCAGCAAG